rnacentral:rRNA from 1 species
GAGUUGAUCGUGGCUCAGAUUGAACGCUGGCGGAAUGCUUUACACAUGCAAGUCGAGCGGCAGCGCGGGGCAACCUGGCGGCGAGCGGCGAACGGGUGAGUAAUGCAUCGGAACAUGUCCAUGUCGUGGGGGAUAGCCCGGCGAAAGCCGGAUUAAUACCGCAUACGCCCGAGAGGGGAAAGCGGGGGACCGCAAGGCCUCACGCGAUUGGGUUGGCCGAUGUCCGAUUAGCUAGUUGGUGGGGUAAAGGCGUCACCAAGGCGAUGAUCGGUAGCUGGUCUGAGAGGAUGAUCAGCCACACUGGGACUGAGACACGGCCCAGACUCCUACGGGAGGCAGCAGUGGGGAAUUUUGGACAAUGGGGGCAACCCUGAUCCAGCCAUUCCGCGUGAGUGAAGAAGGCCUUCGGUUGUAAGA